rnacentral:rRNA from 1 species
UACGGGAGGGUGCAAGCGUUAUCCGGAUUCACUGGGUUUAAAGGGUGCGUAGGCGGGUUGGUAAGUCCGUGGUGAAAUCCCCAAGCUUAACUUGGGAACUGCCGUGGAUACUAUCAAUCUUGAAUAUCGUGGAGGUAAGCGGAAUAUGUCAUGUAGCGGUGAAAUGCUUAGAUAUGACAUAGAACACCAAUUGCGAAGGCAGCUCGCUACACGAAUAUUGACUCUGAGGCACGAAAGCGUGGGGAUCAAACAGG